AGCGAACGCUGGCGGCAGGCCUAACACAUGCAAGUCGAACGAAGUCUUCGGACUUAGUGGCGGACGGGUGAGUAACACGUGGGAACGUGCCUUUAGGUUCGGAAUAACUCAGGGAAACUUGUGCUAAUACCGAAUGUGCCCUUCGGGGGAAAGAUUUAUCGCCUUUAGAGCGGCCCGCGUCUGAUUAGCUAGUUGGUGAGGUAAAGGCUCACCAAGGCUACGAUCAGUAGCUGGUCUGAGUGGAUGACCAGCCACAUUGGGACUGAGACACGGCCCAAACUCCUACGGGAGGCAGCAGUGGGGAAUCUUGCGCAAUGGGCGAAAGCCUGACGCAGCCAUGCCGCGUGGAUGAUGAAGGUCUUAGGAUUGUAAAAUCCUUUCACCGGUGAAGAUAAUGACGGUACCCGGAGAAGAAGCCCCGGCUAACUUCGUGCCAGCCGCCGCGGUAACAC
rnacentral:rRNA from 1 species